rnacentral:snRNA from 1 species
AGAUGAGGGCAUUCUGGCUGUGACAUCCGUAAUCCCAUUGAUCGCCAGGGUUGAUUCAGCUGAUCUGACUGGCUAGGCAGGGGUCCCCUUCCUCCCUCAGCACUCCAGGUGUGUCCCUCCAUGUGCACCGCUGAAGAGGUAAGUCUUUCCCGAGUAGAAACAGACCAGUCUUUGGUCAAGGGUACAGGAGAAGCUGUGCUCUACUGCUAGAAUCUCAAACAAGCUCUCAAAGAAGACAAGUUGUUAUUUUCAACCUGGGUAAACCUCAAAAGUGAUAUUU